GUCUAACUAACUUCUAAAUCAAUCUCCAUCGUCGGAUCAUGCUGAAAUGAAAUCUGAGCCAUUUAAACUCCCAAAAAUAACCGAUAUGGUGGCGGUUUAGAGCAGUUCGGAACAGUUUUCUUAUUUGGUGGUUACCUCCUUAUUUCCUGCCCAUUAUCUCCACAACUCUAAGCUUCCUACAAACAUGGGUUUCAGCCUUAUAUACAGUUUAGGGCAGUUUCACACUCUCUCUCAUAGGCUCCUGCAGUUGGGACAGUUUACGUCCAUGAUGCACACGUUCUCCGCUACCUUUGCCAUUUUCUUCUUCCCAACCACCCUAUGCCAUCCAUUAUAAACCCUCACCAACAUCGUCAAAGUCUCCACGUUUGCUUUCUUCUAUGUAUUCGCGAAUCAUCCUUCUACACCCUAGACAUAAAUUUGAUGAAUCACCUCACUAUCGAUUCAACAGAUUUCAUGAUCAAGAACCAAUUGACGAUGACGCCAUUAAGGAUUGGACACCUUGUCGUCUUGGUGAUUAUUUCGAUCAAUAGUCAGACUCGGUUGCCUUUAUGUUCAAGGUUUUAGAUCUACAUUACUAUUGGGUUAUAUCGAGUCAAAAUUACGAUGCUGAUGGUGUUGGAUACUCGACACAACAAUGUCUUUAUCCCAGUUUAUAUUCCACAACACUCUUCGGUUAAGAUAAGCCGGCAGAAUCGUCAAUUUGACUCAAUUGACAUCUGCUUUUAGAUGUUCGGCUCACUGGUUUGAUGCCCUGAUUUUGACAAAUUGAAAUUGGUUCACCAAGUCUGAUGUGAAGGACAUUUGGAUUACCCGGAAAUACCAGCUGCAUCCAAAAGUAUUGCUUGUAUUUUUAUUGCACAUGACAACAUCUGCAACAUUUACAGCUAGCGAGUCAACCCGUUUAAAUUAUCUGUCUAAACGGGUAGCUGUCGAUUUUAGAAGUUUGGAAAUAGGUGGCUUCGUGGCUGCAGAUGCCACUUCCUUCUGGUCUGAUUUUAGUUUCAGAGUUGCUAAGGUUUGUUGCUGAGAUUAAGGCCUGCAAAAUAAAGGAAAAAGCUUGGGAAUAAGUGUCUUUAUUAACGUUUUGGAGGCUCUGGCUCAAUCGGAAUGACAAGAUAUAUAGAGGGGUUAUGCCUCCCCUCAAAAGAUGAUAGGUGAGAUUAAGGAAACUUCGUACACGUGGAUUCAAAAUAGAACCAAAUGGAGGCACAUGGAAUGGAACGCAUGCAGCAAAAAUUUUGUCUACAACUUGGAAAUCGGUCGAGGAACGUCAGUUUUGGCGAUAGAGUUGAGCAGACCCCCACCCUGCAAAAAAGGCCCUAUAUAUUUUACCCAAAUGAGGUUACUGAUCGUCCACUAGAUAAGUUGCGUUCCACUUUAAUAUUCUCCUUUUCCAUCAUACAUAACACAAUUCUGUAUUAAGUCUGAUUUCGGAGUUAUAUGACGAUUGCUAAUUGAAAUGUUGUUGCAUAUGGUUUUUUCUUUGUGCAGUAUACCUUCUACAUAUGGAGUAUUAUGGCACACGUGAUUUAUCCUACUGAGUCUUAUAUGUUGGUUUAUAAUGAAGAUUGGUAUAUAAUAAAGAGUUCAUGCAAGUGUCCCUGAAGAAAUUAAAAGAUUGUGUGAAACCAAAAAAAUAACUAUGUUUACAAUUUAAGUGGUAUGUUUAAAAAAAAGAAAUACAUAAUGCACGUUUGUUGAUAGUUCUUUGCAGGCAAAAACUAAUUUAGGCAUUUUAUGUAAGUUUUAAUUUUGAUGCCAAAGUGUGAGUUCCUUAGUAAUAAAUCACAUUGAUUCUUAUUCUUUUGCAUAAAAAAAACAACAUAAGUUAAAAGAAAAAUGAUGAUAUAGAUUGUUUACACUGAGCCUUUUAGAGUUAAUGUUCUUGCUCAAGAAGCUGCAGGGGUCUGGCUUUCUAUAUUGGCUGGGUAUUGUUAAUUUAUUAUUUGUAUCAUGUACAUGAAUUUCUAAAUAUCCCGCAGUAGAUGAUGCUAGAUGCACAUCAAAUUCAUCAUAUGUCCACAAUGCAGCAAGUCAGUAAGAAUCGAUGGUUGUUGAUGUGAACCAUGAGGUUGCCUUAGUAGUAGUAGACGAUGCCAAAAAUACACCAACUUUGACAAAUGGGCACCAUACAUCAAGUCAACAAGUCGAAAAAAGGUCAUCUUUGAGGUUAAAGAGAACGAUCCAAAAGCCAAAAAAAUUGAGGGAGUAAACCAUGUUUGACUGUUACAACACUUUUCCACAGUGUUGCAUACCGUUUACUUUUGCAUUAAAAUGGCACCAUUUCAUGUUUUGUCACUCUAUCACUUUUAUUUUAUAUUGUUGUGUGGUUGUACACUAUUCACGUUCGUUUUCCUUUUAUAAAUUAAAAAUGGUGCUUUUGUUUAUAAUGUUGUUUAGACUUGUGUCCACUUAAUGUGGAUGUUUGGGAUUGCUUAUUUUGAGCUACUUUUAAGUUUUUGACUUCUUAAAAGUUAAUAGGUUAUUUUUGUAGUAUUUGGAUAAUGUGUUUUGAGAAUGAGUUUUAGUUGUUUGAAAAGAAGAAAAGGAAAAGUUAGAUGGUUGCAACCUUUUCAAAAAAAGGAUACGGAAAAGAAGAAAAGAAGAAGCGUUCCCGAACACCCU
rnacentral:lncRNA from 1 species